rnacentral:rRNA from 1 species
UGGGGAAUUUUGGACAAUGGGGGAAACCCUGAUCCAGCCAUCCCGCGUGUGCGAUGAAGGCCUUCGGGUUGUAAAGCACUUUUGGCAGGAAAGAAACGUCAUGGGUUAAUACCCCGUGAAACUGACGGUACCUGCAGAAUAAGCACCGGCUAACUACGUGCCAGCAGCCGCGGUAAUACGUAGGGUGCAAGCGUUAAUCGGAAUUACUGGGCGUAAAGCGUGCGCAGGCGGUUCGGAAAGAAAGAUGUGAAAUCCCAGAGCUCAACUUUGGAACUGCAUUUUUAACUACCGGGCUAGAGUGUGUCAGAGGGAGGUGGAAUUCCGCGUGUGGCAGUGAAAUGCGUAGAUAUGCGGAGGAACACCGAUGGAGAAGGCAGCCUCCUGGGAUAACACUGACGCUCAUGCAAGAAAGCGUGGGGAGCAAACAGG